rnacentral:rRNA from 1 species
UACGGAAGGCAGCAGUGGGGAAUAUUGCACAAUGGGCGCAAGCCUGAUGCAGCCAUGCCGCGUGUAUGAAGAAGGCCUUCGGGUUGUAAAGUACUUUCAGCGGGGAGGAAGGCGAUGCGGUUAAUAACCGCGUCGAUUGACGUUACCCGCAGAAGAAGCACCGGCUAACUCCGUGCCAGCAGCCGCGGUAAUACGGAGGGUGCAAGCGUUAAUCGGAAUUACUGGGCGUAAAGCGCACGCAGGCGGUCUGUUAAGUCAGAUGUGAAAUCCCCGGGCUUAAACCUGGGAACUGCAUUUUGAAACUGGCAGGCUUGAGUCUUGUAGAGGGGGUUAGAAUUCCAGGUGUAGCGGUGAAAUGCGUAGAGAUCUGGAGGAAUACCGGUGGCGAAGGCGGCCCCUGGACAAAGCUGACGCUCAGGGU